ACCUUGCUCCGGCAACCAGCCGUAAACACUUUGAAUUAUUAAUUCUAUACCACUGUACCACAAGGCCAGUGAUAAGAGAGACAGUUAUCUCUCCAACAUAAUCUUCAUAAAGGAUUCUAUACCACGGAACCCGCACGAGGACCACGCAUCAAGCAGCUAAGGCUACUUGGACAUACGGACAACUUAAUUGGCGCCCAACGUUAAUAAAUCCACACCCAGGAUAGAAUUAAGAGUUUCUCUCACCAAUUCGAAAAUCAUGUCUUUAGCGUCUGGUGUGCCAGCCACGACUUUAAGUGCUGUCCCAAGAAAAUCCAAGCUUCUGGCGGCAAUUCUAUGAUGCACUUCUAAAACGGACAAAAGGCUUCUAGUAUGGUUUGCAUCUACUUCUAGUAGUUUUCUCAUAUGAGACUGCGGAAAAUACUCGGACAACUUUUCUGUUUCUUCUAUUAUACUCAAAAAUUCGGACAGAUUACUUGAAUGUCUAGCAUAGUCAUGUUGUUCCCAAAUCAUUACAUUUCCAUCUACUAUGGGUAUGUAGCUUGAGUGGGAAUAGUCGGUGAUCCGAGCAUUUAUUGUAUUUAUUAAAAAUAAAAGCGACCAAAUAAGCCUGCAAGAGAAAAUACAA